rnacentral:rRNA from 1 species
GAUGAACGCUGGCGGCGUGCCUAAUACAUGCAAGUCGAGCGAACGGACGAGAAGCUUGCUUCUCUGAUGUUAGCGGCGGACGGGUGAGUAACACGUGGAUAACCUACCUAUAAGACUGGGAUAACUUCGGGAAACCGGAGCUAAUACCGGAUAAUAUUUUGAACCGCAUGGUUCAAAAGUGAAAGACGGUCUUGCUGUCACUUAUAGAUGGAUCCGCGCUGCAUUAGCUAGUUGGUAAGGUAACGGCUUACCAAGGCAACGAUGCAUAGCCGACCUGAGAGGGUGAUCAGCCACACUGGAACUGAGACACGGUCCAGACUCCUACGGGAGGCAGCAGUAGGGAAUCUUCCGCAAUGGGCGAAAGCCUGACGGAGCAACGCCGCGUGAGUGAUGAAGGUCUUCGGAUCGUAAAACUCUGUUAGUAGGGAAGAACAUAUGUGUAAGUAACUGUGCACAUCUUGACGGUACCUAAUCAGAAAGCCACGGCUAACUACGUG